ensembl:lncRNA novel transcript, antisense to ARMC3and MSRB2
AUAUGUACUUGAUUUUGUCUGGCUUCUUUCACUCAACAUAGUUACUUUGACAUGCCUGCGUGUUUUUGCAUGGAACAAUCAUUCAUUGCUUCCUGAGCAGUAUUCCAUUUAUGGAUAUACCACCGUGUGUUUAGUCAGCACUUGAUUUAGCCUGCUUUCAAUUUUUCCUGAUUAGAACUACAGCUGCUAGGAACAUCCCUGUGCAAAUCUUUGUACAGACAUAUACGGUUUUUCCUCUCUGGGGUAAAUACCUGGAAGUGGAAUGCCCAGGUCGUAAGCCUAACCUGAACUUAAGCCGGCAGAUGAGGAUAAGGCUCCCCAGCCUCCCGGAACAAGCAGACAGUUAUUAAUGGAAAUGUUCCACCAGUUCAGCUUUUGGUUAUAGAAAAAUAUAUCAUUACUACUUUUUAGAAACCUCAGAAAUAGACGACUACUACUUCUUAAAAAAAAGGGAGUUUUUGGAAAACUAAAGGAGUUCGCAGGGUCAUACAUCAUCUUUUUCUUUCAUCUUGAAAACUAAGAAACGAAGAAAAAUUGGAUCAUGGAAAUACAGGAAUUUACAUCAGCUCAUUUGGCAGAAUGCUGAAGCCUUACUGGUCUGAGGUGUCAGAGGUCAGAGCCUGAGACUGACAGAGGAGCCACAGGUGACCAGCAAACUGCAGAAGCUCUGGGGAGAACUCCAUGGAGUCAGGCUAAAAACAGCAGCAACCAGAAACUGUAAGAACUGAGCAGAGAUACCAGCUGCACCACUAGAGAGACAAAGUGUGUAGCUCACUGCCUAGUACAGCAAAAUAGCCACAAUCCUCAGAAGGACACAACAGAAUCUGGAAUCACUAGAAAGUAUUAUCUACAAUGCUCAUUCUUAACCAUGCAAAGAAGAAACAGGAAAGUGUGAUUCAAAGUCAGAAAAAAGUCAGUCAAUAGAAAUCUACUCUGUUAGGGACAGGUGUUGGUGAAUUAAGUAAUUAGAGACUCUAAAGCAGCUAUGAUAAAUAUGUUCACAGAGGAAAGCUCAAUAGAGAAAUGAAACUUCAAACAUGGAAAUUUAAGACUUGAAAAGUACAAAAACUAGAAAGAAAAAUUUACUAGGUGGACCAAACGGCAGAUUAGAGAUGCCAAAAUUGCAUAAAUUGAACAGAGAUCAAAAGACGUUAUUUAAUCUAAAAAAUUGAAGAAAAAUGAGCAGAGCCUUAGAGUCCUGUAAAAUAUCAAGCAAGAUAACAUAUAUGUAAUUGGGUUCCGGAGGGAGAGAAGGAAUGGAAAAAAAUAUUUGCAUAAAUAAUGACUGAAAAAUUCCAUGAUUGGCAGAAAACACUAAUUUACAGAUCUAAGAAGGUCAAGCACCCCAAGCAGGAUAUAUAAUUAUAUCACUUCCAUGCAGAAGAGAAAUGCAGAAAGCCAAAGAUAAAGAGCAAAGUGUUGAAAGCAGCCAAAGAAAAGUGACACAUCACGUACAGGAAAAUAGUUCAGCUCAAUGGCUGAAUUUUCAUCAGAAAUACUGGCAUUCAGAAGAAAUUUAAAAAUGCUGAAAACAAAACUAGCAGCCAAGAAUUUUGUAUCAAGCAAAAAUGUCUUUUCAAAAUUAAAGGCAAAAGGAAGCAACUUCCAGAUAAAUUUAAAAGACAGAAUUUAUGCCAUUAUAUUUACACUGUAAGAAAUGCUAAAUGAGGUUCUUCAGGUUGAAGGGAAAUGACCCUGAUGACAACAUGGAUCUACAGGAAAAAAUGAAAAGCAUCAGAAAUCAUACAUAUGUGAGUAAAUAUAAAAUACUAAAUAUUGAUAGAUGAAUAUAUGGAUAGGUACUACACAAACACAUAUGAACAUAUAAUUCUUAAUAUCUUAACACAUGAUAUAGGACUCUUCAAAACAAAAAAUUAUUACAUUGUAUUGUUGGGUUUGUAAUGGACACAGAUAUAAAAUAUGUAACAAUAUUAAGAGUAGGAAAAGUAGAGAUACAUU